CCCAAUUUUUUAGUGUCUCUUCCCAUAAUACCCUUUUUCUCACUGAAACUCAUCACCCAUCAUCUUCCCCAACAGGACAAAUACGCAUCUUCUUCACCCAUCUAUGGCGGAUCUCCGUCAAGCUGUCGUCCGACUUCGAGACCACAUGCGCCACAAACUGAUGGUCUCUCACCGACGCAAGCGAGGCUCAGAAAUUUCAAGAUCUAAGAAGUUAUAAUGAAAUCCUCACUCACAAAUGGCAACCGCAGCCGCAGCCCCCUCCAUCUUCAUCUCCUCCGAGUCCUAACCAUGAGCAACUCCAAGAGCUGAGAGAUCUCCCAGCUAUGGCUGGACCUCCAUCUCGUUGCCAACCUCCGCUGUGGACUCUGCUACUUCUCCAAGUUCCACUCAACCUGUUACUUCAAGUCCACUGAUGGCCACAACAACAACUGGUCAUUCGACUAUUCUCACCUUAAUCUCCCUGUACUCGCUCACCUUGCUGCAAAACGUGACAUUUCUAGAUGACCAUACGACCUAGGUCAUCAUUGCCUCCUCCGAUCAGUCGUCGGGCUUCUCCGAUCAGUGUUGUACGCCUCUGAUUAUCCUCUCCACAAUCAUCCAUCUCAUCUCAGGCUUUGGCUUCGGGGAUUUUCCAAAUCAACACCGCCGUCUCUUCCUUCUUCCGCCUCGUCAAUUCCCUUGGCACCCCCAAAGAUAUUCUUCAACUUCGAGAAAAACUACACAAAACGAGGAACCAUAUCACACAAUUGGUGAAGGAGACUUCAUCCAAACUCAGUCAAGCCAGUGAGGCCGAUCACCAACAUAAUAAUCAAAUUACAGUGUUUAUGUGUUGAGACGAACUUCAAAGAAACUUUUGUGGCAAUAGUUUGCAAGAGAAGAAAGGUUUCAAAAAGGAAGAUAUAUAGGCUUUUAUUACCAACUUUGGACAUCAUGUUUGAUAAAAGUUGGUUACAGUUCAACAUGUAAUAAGAAUCGAGGACUUAGUUAAUAUUAAGUUAAUAAAUUCAUAGAUAGAUAGGUUAUACCUUUCUCUAAUAAUUUUGAGUAUAUAUUUUUCAUUUAAUUGUAGAGCUUCAGAUGAGUAUAAGUAAGACGCUAAGAGUUUUGUAGAGACAAUAGAGAAAGGCUAAUUAUCCAAAAAAAUUAUUGUGUCCCUGCAAAGUGUGUCGAAACUUAAGUCACCAAGAUGUCAGCAUUCUUUAUGAGCAUUUGAUCAUAAAUGGGAUUGAUCCAACUUACAAAAUAUGUUUUCAUCAUGGGGAAGAAGUAUCUAGAAGUGAUGAUAUUGACGAAAUGAAUUAUUUUGAUGCUUAUAAUGUGUUUAGUGCUACAAAUCUUGAUGACUAUGAUUUUGACGAACAUGUAGAAGGCCCUGAUGACAAUUUCACCAAAAAAAUUAGAAGAUGCAGAAAUUCCAUUAUAUCCACAGUGCACAAAAUACACUAAGUUAUUUGCAAUUGUUGCUUUGUAUAAGCUUAAAACUUCUAAUGGAUUGUCGGACAAAUGUUUUGAUGAAAUGCUAGGGCUUUUCCAUGAUAUGCUACCUUUUGAUAAUGUGCUCCUCAAGUCUAUGUACUCAGUGAGAAAAUUUCUUCGAGCAUUCAAGUUAGGAUAUGAAAGGAUUCAUGCAUGUGUAAAUGAUUAUUGUCUAUUUAGAAAAGAUAAAGAGACGUUGGAAAAUUGUCCAACAUGUGGAACUUCUCGUUGGAUGUCAAACAAGCUUACUACUCUACUAUUUGUUUUUUAUAUAUGUCUAAGUAAUUUAAUUAUGUUUAUUUUGGGUUCUAAUGCAGUUGGUUGUGAUGCCAUACAUCUUCAUAUAGUUAGGCUCUUGAGACACAGAUAGAUGGAAACAAAUGGAAGGUCAUGGCACACAUUUUAGGCUCGGCAAUAGGCUUUCAAAUCUAGUGCAAAUAAUAAAGCAUCAAAAUAUCUUUAGAUUUCGUUGUUCACUUUUAAAGUGAAACAUGAAAGUUUUUUCAAAUUUUAGCUAAACCUUUUAGCUAGAAGUUUAUUAUGAUGACUUUGAUUCUCUAAACUUUACUUUUUGAAAGAUGGUUCACUUAAGUGAAAUAUGUAUUUGGACCGAGUUACCUAAUAUGAUGAUAUUGAUAUUUUUUAAGAUCUAA